rnacentral:rRNA from 1 species
CUGGCGGCGUGCCUAACACAUGCAAGUCGAGCGAGGAGAUCCUUCGGGAUGAUCCUAGCGGCGGACGGGUGAGUAACACGUGGGCAACCUGCCUCAUAGAGACGGAAUAGCCUUCCGAAAGGGAGAUUAAUACCUCAUAACAUUGCAGUUUCGCAUGGAACAGCAAUUAAAGGAGUAAUCCGGCUAGUGAGAUGGGGCCCGCGGCGCAUUAGCUAGUUGGUGAGGUAACGGCUCACCAAGGCGACGAUGCGUAGCCGACCUGAGAGGGUGAUCGGCCACAUUGGGACUGAGACACGGCCCAGACUCCUACGGGAGGCAGCAGUGGGGAAUAUUGCACAAUGGGGGAAACCCUGAUGCCAGCAACGCCGCGUGAGUGAUGACGGCCUUCGGGUUGUAAAGCUCUGUCUUCAGGGACGAUAAUGACGGUACCUGAGGAGGAAGCCACGGCUAACUACGUGCCAGCCGCCGC